GACGAACGCUGGCGGCGUGCUUAACACAUGCAAGUCGAACGGUAAGGCCCUGCUUUUGUGGGGUGCUCGAGUGGCGAACGGGUGAGUAACACGUGAGUAACCUGCCCUUCACUUUGGGAUAACUUCGGGAAACUGGGGCUAAUACCGGAUAGGAGCUCAUGCUGCGUGGUGGGGGUUGGAAAGUUUCGGCGGUUGGGGAUGGACUCGCGGCUUAUCAGCUUGUUGGUGGGGUAGUGGCUUACCAAGGCGUUGACGGGUAGCCGGCCUGAGAGGGUGAACGGCCACAUUGGGACUGAGAUACGGCCCAGACUCCUACGGGAGGCAGCAGUGGGGAAUAUUGCACAAUGGGCGGAAGCCUGAUGCAGCAACGCCGCGUGCGGGAUGACGGCCUUCGGGUUGUAAACCGCUUUCGCCAGUGACGAAGCGUGAGUGACGGUAAUUGGUAAAGAAGCACCGGCUAACUACGUG
rnacentral:rRNA from 1 species